AGUGAACGCUGGCGGUAGGCCUAACACAUGCAAGUCGAACGGCAGCACAGUAAGAGCUUGCUCUUACGGGUGGCGAGUGGCGGACGGGUGAGGAAUACAUCGGAAUCUACUUUUUCGUGGGGGAUAACGUAGGGAAACUUACGCUAAUACCGCAUACGACCUACGGGUGAAAGCAGGGGAUCUUCGGACCUUGCGCGAUUGAAUGAGCCGAUGUCGGAUUAGCUAGUUGGCGGGGUAAAGGCCCACCAAGGCGACGAUCCGUAGCUGGUCUGAGAGGACGAUCAGCCACACUGGAACUGAGACACGGUCCAGUCUCCUACGGGAGGCAGCAGUGGGGAAUAUUGGACAAUGGGCGCAAGCCUGAUCCAGCCAUACCGCGUGGGUGAAGAAGGCCUUCGGGUUGUAAAGCCCUUUUGUUGGGAAAGAAAAGCAGCAGGUUAAUACCCCGCUGUUCUGACGGUACCCAAAGAAUAAGCACCGGCUAACUUCGUG
rnacentral:rRNA from 1 species